CCAAAAUCAAGAUGUAAAUCAAGAGAGCAGAUACACAGGAAUGACUACUUGGAGCUCAGCCUGGCAUUGGGAUUGGUCACUGUGAUGGCCAGCGGGGCUGCUCUCUCCACAAUGGUUCUGCGGUUCCUGGAGGAGAUGCUGUGAAGCAAUGUCUGUACAGUAAGAUCUGUUGCACAUCAGCAGCACUUCAAGCUCUUGUCAGUGCCUCUGGGUUUCCGCCAGUUGUGCUUGAUUUCGACGUGUCAGUCUGACUGGUGUUGGAUGAAUUUCUU
rnacentral:lncRNA from 1 species